rnacentral:tRNA from 1 species
GAAAAAGUGGCCGAGUGGUCGAAGGCGACAGACUGUAAAUCUGUUAGUAAUACUCACGUUGGUUCGAACCCAACCUUUUUC